rnacentral:rRNA from 1 species
AUUGAACGCUGGCGGCGUGCCUAAUACAUGCAAGUCGAACGCAGUGGGGACGGGUGAGUAACACGUGGGUAACCUCCCAUCAGAGGGGAUAACACUUGGAAACAGGUGCUAAACCGAUACUGAUGGAUGGACCGUCGGUUCAUGAGCUAGUUGGUGGGGUAACGGCUCACAAAGGCCACGAUGCAUAGCGGACCUGAGAGGGUGAUCGGACACACUGGGACUGAGACACGGCCCAGACUCCGACGGGAGGCAGCAGUAGGGAAUCUGCGGCAAUGGACGAAAGUCUGACCGAGAAACGCCGCGUGAGUGAAGAAGGUUUUCGGAUCGUAAAACUCUGUUGUUAGAGAAGCGGUAUCUAACCAGAAAGCCACGGCUAACUACGUGCCAGCAGCCGCGGUAAUUC